GGGGGAGAAGCUUGCAAAAGCAAUACACUUUUAAUGUUUGGACAGUCGGGAGACCUCCCCCU
rnacentral:tRNA from 1 species